rnacentral:tRNA from 1 species
CAUUAGAUAGCUUAAAGUAAGCAAUGAAAUUUUAAAUCAUUUAUAGUAUUGUCACGAAUAUUUCUAAUGA